AUACUUACCUGGCAGGGGAGAUACCAUGAUCACGAAGGUGGUUUUCCCAGGGCGAGGCUUAUCCAUUGCACUCCGGAUGUGCUGACCCCUGUGAUUUCCCCAAAUGUGGGAAACUCAACUGCAUAAUUUGUGGUAGUGGGGGACUGCGUUUGCACUUUCCCCUG
rnacentral:snRNA from 1 species